rnacentral:rRNA from 1 species
UUGAACGCUGGCGGCAGGCCUAACACAUGCAAGUCGAGCGGAUGAGGGGUGCUUGCACCUCGAUUCAGCGGCGGACGGGUGAGUAAUGCCUAGGAAUCUGCCUGAUAGUGGGGGACAACGUUUCGAAAGGAACGCUAAUACCGCAUACGUCCUACGGGAGAAAGCAGGGGACCUUCGGGCCUUGCGCUAUCAGAUGAGCCUAGGUCGGAUUAGCUAGUUGGUGGGGUAAAGGCUCACCAAGGCGACGAUCCGUAACUGGUCUGAGAGGAUGAUCAGUCACACUGGAACUGAGACACGGUCCAGACUCCUACGGGAGGCAGCAGUGGGGAAUAUUGGACAAUGGGCGAAAGCCUGAUCCAGCCAUGCCGCGUGUGUGAAGAAGGUCUUCGGAUUGUAAAGCACUUUAAGUUGGGAGGAAGGGCAUUAACCUAAUACGUUAGUGUUUUGACGUUACCGACAGAAUAAGCACCGGCUAACUUCGU